GCUCUCAUAGUUCAAGGGAUAGAACAUAGACCUCCUAAGUCUGGGAUACAAGUUCGAGUCUUGUUGGGAGCA
rnacentral:tRNA from 1 species